GUGCACCAGUCGCGAAACUUUACAAUGUGCGAAAGCACGAUAAGGGAACUCUGAGUGCCUCCUAAGGAGGCUGUUCUGAUGUCUAAAAAGCAACAGAAGUAAGGGCUGGGUAAGACCGGUGCCAGCCGCCGCGGUAACACCGGCAGCCCAAGUGGUAGCCACGUUUAUUGGGUCUAAAGCGUUCGUAGCCGGCCAGGUAAGUUCCUUGGUAAAUUUAGCCGCUUAACGGUUAAGUUUCAGGGAAUACUGCUUGGCUUGGGACUGGGAGAGGUCAGAGGUACUCCGGGGGUAGGGGUGAAAGUCUAUUAAUCCCUGGGGGACCACCGGUAGCGAAGGCGUCUGACCAGACCAGGUCCGACGGUGAGGGACGAAGGCUAGGGGCGCGAACCGGAUUA
rnacentral:rRNA from 1 species